AACUCUUGCAGGUUCUUCUUUGUUUGCGCAGGUUCUUUUGGUCCAAGGGUGAGAAGAAAGGAUUCAGACAAAGAGCAGCCAUGAGGACUCGCCGGCAUCCUGUCGCUGUAUAUGAUGGUGUUGAGACGAUGAGCUACAGUGAGCGCGGUGCAUUCUCUGAACUUGUCCCGGAUGGUUCU